CCGUAAACGAUGUCUACUAGUCGUUGGGUCCCUUGAGGACUUAGUGACGCAGCUAACGCAAUAAGUAGACCGCCUGGGGAGUACGGCCGCAAGGUUAAAACUCAAAUGAAUUGACGGGGGCCCGCACAAGCGGUGGAGCAUGUGGUUUAAUUCGAUGCAACGCGAAGAACCUUACCUGGUCUUGACAUAUCUAGAAUCCUGCAGAGAUGCGGGAGUGCCUUCGGGAAUUAGAAUACAGGUGCUGCAUGGCUGUCGUCAGCUCGUGUCGUGAGAUGUUGGGUUAAGUCCCGCAACGAGCGCAACCCUUGUCCUUAGUUACCAGCGGGUUAAGCCGGGAACUCUAAGGAUACUGCCAGUGACAAACUGGAGGAAGGCGGGGACGACGUCAAGUCAUCAUGGCCCUUACGACCAGGGCUACACACGUGCUACAAUGGUAGGUACAGAGGGCAGCUACACAGCGAUGUGAUGCGAAUCUCAAAAAGCCUAUCGUAGUCCAGAUUGGAGUCUGCAACUCGACUCCAUGAAGUAGGAAUCGCUAGUAAUCGCGGAUCAGAAUGCCGCGGUGAAUACGUUCCCGGGCCUUGUACACACCGCCCGUCACACCAUGGGAGUUGAUUGCACCAGAAG
rnacentral:rRNA from 1 species